AUGCCACCGGUAGGCUGCGGUUCCAGGCGCGCCAUCCAUACCAUCUGAUGACUGCCCGCUACGUUUGUCAGUC
rnacentral:sRNA from 1 species